CCUUCGAUAGCUCAGCUGGUAGAGCGGAGGACUGUAGAUCCUUAAGUCGCUGGUUUGAUUCUGGCUCGAAGGA
rnacentral:tRNA from 1 species